rnacentral:lncRNA from 1 species
CAAGUGGAACAGGCUGCCUGAUGGCGGCCACGCCCACCUCUUAAAAUGUACUUGGCAACGAGAUCUAUGCCAAUAUGACACCUGUCUGCGUAGGAAAUUCAUGACGGGCCAGAAGGGCAGGCUUUGGAGGAUCCCAGUAGUGGAGUUGUGACUGGUCUCCUCAGGAGUCUCUCCCAGAAAGGCUCAGGACUCUCUCUCUCUUGGACUACUUGUCUCAAAUUGAAGGGAGCAAGUAAGUGGUGUCCUGUGUGGAUCAAGGAUUCCUCCUGAUAAGGGUAUUUGCGGUACAAUGAUAAAUUCCAUCUUUCCCAGAACGAUAUGAGGAUCAAUGAUGCAGACUGCUGGGUUCGAUGAAGCUGGGCAUUUAUAACUAGAUUCAUUAAGGAAUACAAAGAAAAUAUUUAAAGGGAUCAAUAAUGGUGUCUUCUGGUUGCAGAAUGCGAAGUCUGUGGUUUAUCAUUAUAAUCAGUUUCUCACCGAAUACAGAAGACUUGUUGCUGUUGAUGCUCUGAGAUGGCUUACCUUGUAAAGACCGUCAUUGCUCGGCCUGGUGACCUUAGCUAAGCUUCUGGAGUUCAUUGGAGAUGGAAAGAACAGGCUACAACAAGUUUUUCUGUGACCCACACCCAGGCACACACUUGUAAAUAAAUACACCCUCACAUGCA